CGCGAGUCAUUGGGUUGUCAACCUAAAGGCGCAAUGAAAGUGAAGGUCUCGCCUCGUGCGGGCCGAGGGAAGAUGGGGUUUUGCGUUUGUCGCUGCCCCCGCAUUCCCGGGGCGUCUCGUUCUCAUUGCGAGUUGAGGCGCACCCAGAGCGUACACGUUGGGACCCGAAAGAUGGUGAACUAUGCCUGGCCAGGACGAAGUCAGGGGAAACCCUGAUGGAGGUCCGUAGCGAUUCUGACGUGCAAAUCGAUCGUCGGAGCUGGGUAUAGGGGCGAAAGACUAAUCGAACCAUCUAGUAGCU
rnacentral:rRNA from 1 species